CAGCGCCACGAGUGGGAAUCGCGAUUAUUGGGCCUAAAGCGUUCGUAGCCGGUUUGGUAAAUCUUUAGUGAAAUCGUUCAGCUUAACUGAACGGCGUGCUAGAGACACUGUCAAACUUGGAACCGGGAGGAGUCAGAGGUAUGCAAAGGGGAGCGGUAAAAUGCAAUAAUCCUUAGCAGACCACCUGUGGCGAAGGCGUCUGACUAGAACGGAUUCGACGGUGAGGAACGAAAGCCAGGGGAGCGAACCGGAUUAGAGACCCGAGUAGUCC
rnacentral:rRNA from 1 species